UAAUAGCGUAUACUUAAGUUGUUGCAGUUAAAAAGCUCGUAGUCGGAUGUCGGGCUUGGGCAGGCUGUCGGCUUUUGUCGGACGGCAGGCUCGGGCCUUUCUGCCUGGGGACUGCGUCACACUUCACUGUGGGGCGUCAGGACGCAGGCCGUUUACUUUGAAAAAAUUAGAGUGUUCAAAGCAGGCCUACGCUUGAAUACAUUAGCAUGGAAUAAUGGAAUAGGACUUUGGUGCCAUUCUGUUGGUUUAUGGAACCGAAGUAAUGAUUAAUAGGGACAGUUGGGGCCGUUUAUAUUUCGUUGUCAGAGGUGAAAUUCUUGGAUUUACGAAAGAUAAACUUCUGCGAAAGCAUUCGGCAAGGAUGUUUUCAUUGA
rnacentral:rRNA from 1 species